rnacentral:rRNA from 1 species
AUUAGACGAAUCAUCUGGAAAGAUGAAUCAAAGAAGGUAAUAAUCCUGUAGUCGAAAAUGUUGUCUCUCUUGAGUGGAUCCUGAGUACGACGGAGCACGUGAAAUUCCGUCGGAAUCUGGGAGGACCAUCUCCUAAGGCUAAAUACUCUCUAGUGACCGAUAGUGAACCAGUACCGUGAGGGAAAGGUGAAAAGCACCCCGGAAGGGGAGUGAAAUAGAACCUGAAACCGUGUGCUUACAAGUAGUCAGAGCCCGUUAAUGGGUGAUGGCGUGCCUUUUGUAGAAUGAACCGGCGAGUUACGAUUUGAUGCAAGGUUAAGCAGUAAAUGUGGAGCCGUAGCGAAAGCGAGUCUGAAUAGGGCGUUUAGUAUUUGGUCGUAGACCCGAAACCAGGUGAUCUACCCUUGGUCAGGUUGAAGUUCAGGUAACACUGAAUGGAGGACCGAACCGACUUACGUUGAAAAGUGAGCGGAUGAACUGAGGGUAGCGGAGAAAUUCCAAUCGAACCUGGAGAUAGCUGGUUCUCUCCGAAAUAGCUUUAGGGCUAGCCUCAAGUGAUGAUUAUUGGAGGUAGAGCACUGUUUGGACGAGGGGCCCCUCUCGGGUUACCGAAUUCAGACAAACUCCGAAUGCCAAUUAAUUUAACUUGGGAGUCAGAACAUGGGUGAUAAGGUCCGUGUUCGAAAGGGAAACAGCCCAGACCACCAGCUAAGGUCCCAAAAUAUAUGUUAAGUGGAAAAGGAUGUGGCGUUGCCCAGACAACUAGGAUGUUGGCUUAGAAGCAGCCAUCAUUUAAAGAGUGCGUAAUAGCUCACUAGUCGAGUGACACUGCGCCGAAAAUGUACCGGGGCUAAACAUAUUACCGAAGCUGUGGAUUGUCCUUUGGACAAUGGUAGGAGAGCGUUCUAAGGGCGUUGAAGCAUGAUCGUAAGGACAUGUGGAGCGCUUAGAAGUGAGAAUGCCGGUGUGAGUAGCGAAAGACGGGUGAGAAUCCCGU